rnacentral:rRNA from 1 species
UACGUAGGGGGCAAGCGUUAUCCGGAUUCACUGGGUGUAAAGGGAGCGUAGACGGCGACGCGAGUCUGGAGUGAAAGCCCGGGGCCCAACCCCGGGACUGCUCUGGAAACUGCGUCACUGGAGUACGGGAGGGGCAGGCGGAAUUCCUGGUGUAGCGGUGAAAUGCGUAGAUAUCAGGAGGAACACCGGCGGCGAAGGCGGCCUGCUGGACCGUGACUGACGUUGAGGCUCGAGAGCGUGGGGAGCAAACAGG